rfam:Ktedonobacter racemifer DSM 44963 strain SOSP1-21 Krac_Contig206, whole genome shotgun sequence.
GAACGCCGGAUGCGGUGAAAGUCGCAUGUCCGGUGUGGACGGGGGGAAAGGGCGUAAGCUCCUACCUAUCCGUAC